rnacentral:misc_RNA from 1 species
CAAAGCCUACAUGAGAAGAGUUGGUCCAAGAAGAAAAACCAAGCCAAGAAUGGUUGGAUAGAAGACCAAUCAACUAAGAAUGCUUGAAGACAGAGCUACUUCAAGAGGAAGAGUUUCUCUUAGGAGGAACAAGAAAUUUGUUGGUGAGAAGUGCAACAGCAAAAGAGAAAAUGGUGAGAAGUGCACCCCUAGACAAUAAAUGGUGAGAGGUGCACCAGAAAAUUAAUCAUGAAAGUUAGAGAGACGUGAUCCAAAAAACAAAUCAGCAAACUUGGAGAGGUGUGCUCCAGGACAACCAAUCAAAUCAGAAAUUUAGAGAGAUGAUGCUCCAAGGUAACUCAAUUUGGAGUUUUUAGCAAAGUAUCAGUGAGGAGGGUUUAAGCAUGAGAUAUUAUUGCUUCAUACUCUAAAUUUCUGCAACUUCCAAGAAUCUGGUUUAUGUAUUUUAAAAUUUAGUUUGAAUCCAAAAUCCUGAAAUCUAGCUGCAAAGAUAGGUCUGAUUUGUAACAUAUAAGGCAAAUUUUCUAAGCAAGGUACUCUGCUUCUUUCUUAGUUGAUUAGGUAGAAAUCAUGUAAUAUUUUGCCCUGUAAAUAGCCUUGUACUAUUGAAAGCAAAGAGAGGAUGAGAUGUAAGAAAUCAAUGUGUGUUUCUGCAGUUAUCUAUUUCAAAUUUCUCAGUUUUUCUUCCUUCAAAUCCCAAAGUAAUGAGCUCAAGCACAGACCAAAAACGCUGGUUAGCUAAACUAAAACCCAGUAUAUGCGGAUUCUGAGCACAAUCAACUCUUAAUCUCAAAUAUCCAAAGUUCUGACCCUUGCUACCAAAUAAAAACACUUUUUGCUGCAUCAUUCAAGUUAGGCAGGUAUCAGUGAAGCCCUAAAACAAACAACUCCCAUGUAGAAUACAAUUUUGCAAGAGAACUGAAUCUGACUUAUGCAGUCCCUUUCUAGCGCAAUGCCCCUUCUAGAGCAAAUCAGGUAAUUCUUAGCCAUUUCUUGACUAUAUUUGAAAUCCUCUCGUCGGAAUAAUCUGCCAAAUCAAUCAAUGGUGUUCAAACUAUCAUUCAAGUUUACUGUUUCCUAUAAAGAAGAAACUAAGAACUAGUACCAUGGAACAUCCACUUUCUCCUGCAAAAUACUCCAAUUUUCCCUUCACAUCCCUAAUCCCUUUCCUCUAUCUAAUUAGGGUUAAAUUUACAAGCAGCAAAUAACCAAAGUACUUGCAAGCAAUAUUUUAGCAACAGCCCACGAGUCAUAUAAAAAAUGUGAUCAACACAAAAUAGUUCAAACAAAUUUCUGCCUCUAGCAAAAACCAUUUGAAUAGUAGACAUUACCAAAAAUUAGGCAAUAGCAGGUUAUUAAAUUAAAUACCU